rnacentral:rRNA from 1 species
UACGUAGGUGGCAAGCGUUGUUCGGAAUUAUUGGGCGUAAAGGGCGCGUAGGCGGCUUGGGAAGUCCGUGGUGAAAGCCCGAGGCUCAACUUCGGGUCGGCCAUGGAUACUCCUAAGCUCGAGUCGACUAGAGGCUAAUGGAAUUCCGGGUGUAGCGGUGGAAUGCGUAGAGAUCCGGAAGAACACCGGUGGCGAAGGCGGUGAGCUGGGGCAGAUACUGACGCUGAGGUGCGAAAGCGUGGGGGAGCAAACAGGG